ACAAAAUGUGUGCGUUCGUAAUAGCCUGCGUAGUUCUUCUUCAUUCUUCACUGGAGAUUCUUUCUCUAGACUACUCGUAGCUGAGCAGAGUUGGGUGCAACGGAUCAAGUGACGGUGAGAAAUGAUCUACGGCCUACUCACCGCAACCUUCUUCAUCGCUAUGGUCACCACAGUCGUCCCAGUGGUCACACACGAAUGACAUGGGGAUGCAGUAGCCAUUGGCACACUGGUACUGAUGGAGUGGACAGUGCUCCGUUGCUGAGGAGGACAUGAUGGCAGUGGCAGUCAGCAACAAGGUGCAAGGGGAGCUGGAGGACCCCUUGACACUGAAAUGGUGGACCUGCAGGAGCAAGCAGGAACUUCAAGAGCUGGAGAGGAUGGCUCAACUUACCCUGUGAGAUGGAUCCAUUCACCCUCACUCUCACUCACCAUCAGCGUCAAGAGCACUUUUUGGGCAACCUCAUCAUUUUGAGAUGACUGAGCACACUGUUACAAUUUCAGCUCAUAAAGGGUAGACAUCCUGAAUUUUGUAUAGACUAAUUUUAUUUCUAUAGACCCUUUCAUCAAUAAAAACAAAAACAAUGCUUGAACGUUCUAUUUGGGCCCCAAUCUACUUCCU